GACGAAGGGGGCUAGCGUUGUUCGGAAUUACUGGGCGUAAAGCGCGUGUAGGCGGUUGUCCAAGUUGGAUGUGAAAGCCUUGAGCUUAACUCAAGAAAUGCAUUCAGGACUGGAUGACUAGAGGACCGGAGAGGAUAGUGGAAUUCCCAGUGUAGUGGUGAAAUACGUAGAGAUUGGGAAGAACACCAGUGGCGAAGGCGGUUCUCUGGGCCUGUACUGACGCUGAGGAACGAAAGCGUGGGGAGCGAACAGG
rnacentral:rRNA from 1 species